UACGAAGGGGGCUAGCGUUGUUCGGAAUUACUGGGCGUAAAGCGCACUUAGGCGGAUGUUUAAGUCGGGGGUGAAAUCCCAGGGCUCAACCCUGGAACUGCCUUCGAUACUGGACGUCUUGAGUCCGAGAGAGGUGAGUGGAAUUCCGAGUGUAGAGGUGAAAUUCGUAGAUAUUCGGAAGAACACCAGUGGCGAAGGCGACUUACUGGACACAUAUUGACGCUGAGGUGCGAAAGCGUGGGGAGCAAACAGG
rnacentral:rRNA from 1 species